rnacentral:sRNA from 1 species
GAAAGUGGGCUUCUGGGCCAUCUCGCAUAUUCUCAACGGCUGUGCGUGAGCCACCACGCCCAGCCUGGUUUAUUCAUAAUCUUUGUCUUCCUAAUGAAAUGGUAAACUCCUCCAGGCAACCGGGAUACUAAGUGUCUAAAGCCUUUUUAUGACCCCAUAGCGCCAAAUGGUAGCUUUCAGUAGAUCCUUGUGGAUUUUAGUUGCCAGGCAGUUCUUGUCCAGAUGACUCUGAUUACCUUGCCAGUUACCACUGGCACUUCCAAAGUCAGCCUAGGGCCAGGUGAAAGAAUGGAGUAAUCAAGUGGGCACCAGGAAAUGACAGCACUAGGGGUAACACUGAAGGUCUGACGAUGUGAUCGUUCACAUUUUGUAAGUGAAAAAACCUGAAGCCCAGAGAAGUUAAGGCAUUUGUGGAAGGUCACAUGGCAAGGAGGUGGCAUGCAUGAUAUCACUUGAUCCUGACCUUCCCUGUCACUGACAGAAAUAGGGGUGAAUGGAGCAGGACAGUCAGGCUCUGCAGAGACCACCCUUAGAGGUCUUUCUAGAGCU